rnacentral:lncRNA from 1 species
UCGCAUGGCCUCCUCCAGCUCCUCCUAGGCGAAUUGAUGUGUCUGCAGCUUGUGGAAGCUGCCGGACUCCAGGCCGAUGCCACCUCUAAAGUGGGGAGUCCCACGUGAUUUACUAUACUUGAGGAGCCCAGACGAGGAGGUCACAUGUACUGCCUCCUCUUGUACUGGAAUGACACAACGAUGAGAAGCGCAGACAUAACCUAAGCAACUGCAGAGUUUCCUGAAGUGGCAAACGGGGAUUAAAUUAGAUGAAGAGAGAACCAUGCACAUUGUGCUUGAAUUUGUAAGAAAAGAAAGAUAAAAACACUUGACAAAUGCUUGAAUUGGUCCAUGUGAAUGAUGGAUUUGGGUAAGAAAACCAUUGAUAAAUAUGGUAGUUAUGUUUCAUGUGGUUACCAUUGCUAUUGCCUUUUGUUUGGUUUCUUUGGUCCUGCAAGAUCAAAAACCAAUGUCAAAAAUGACUGUAUAUAAAAGGAAAUCCUGCUAGGAAUAGACAA